rnacentral:tRNA from 1 species
GUAGCUCAGUUGGCUAGAGUGCGUCGUUCGGGACGCUGAGGCCGGAGGUUCGAGUCCUCUC